CAACCCCUCGAGCCCCUCUGGGCUUGGUGUUAGGGCUUCCUACGUGCGCCGUAGGCCCUCAAUCACAGUGGCGGGCUCGCCGCGAUCCCGAGCGUAGUAAUGCUACGUCGCUCAGGGCGUCGCGGCGGGUGCUGGCCGUGAAAGAAAAGAACCGCGGUGUGCCCCUUGGCGCACGGCAGGUCUUAUUACAAACAAAGG
rnacentral:misc_RNA from 1 species